rnacentral:rRNA from 1 species
UACGUAGGGUGCAAGCGUUAAUCGGAAUUACUGGGCGUAAAGCGUGCGCAGGCGGUUGUGCAAGACAGAUGUGAAAUCCCUGGGCUUAACCUGGGAACUGCAUUUGUGACUGCAUGGCUAGAGUGUGUCAGAGGGAGGUGGAAUUCCACGUGUAGCAGUGAAAUGCGUAGAUAUGUGGAGGAAUACCGAUGGCGAAGGCAGCCUCCUGGGAUAACACUGACGCUCAUGCACGAAAGCGUGGGGAGCAAACAGG